CUUCACCGAACCCAGCCACAGCGGCUCGGCGCGGUCCUGACCGUAGGUGGCGAGCAGGGCCGCCGCCUC
rnacentral:antisense_RNA from 1 species